rnacentral:tRNA from 1 species
GGCCUCAUAGUUUAGUGGUAGAAUAUUUGUUUCGGGAACAAAUGACGUCCAGUUCGAUUCUGGCUGAGGCCC